UUACGGCCACAUCACGUUAAAACACUAGCUCAGUUACGAUCACCGAAGUUAAGCAACAUCAAGCCUGGUCAGUACCUCGAUAGGUGACCGCUUGGGAAUACCAG